rnacentral:rRNA from 1 species
CGAGUCUGCCUUGAAGAUCGGAGUGCUUGCACUCUGUGAAACAAGAUACAGGCUAGCGGCGGACGGGUGAGUAACACGUGGGUAACCUGCCCAAGAGAUCGGGAUAACACCUGGAAACAGAUGCUAAUACCGGAUAACAACAGAUGAUGCCUAUCAACUGUUUAAAAGAUGGUUCUGCUAUCACUCUUGGAUGGACCUGCGGUGCAUUAGCUAGUUGGUAGGGUAACGGCCUACCAAGGCGAUGAUGCAUAGCCGAGUUGAGAGACUGAUCGGCCACAUUGGGACUGAGACACGGCCCAAACUCCUACGGGAGGCAGCAGUAGGGAAUCUUCCACAAUGGACGCAAGUCUGAUGGAGCAACGCCGCGUGAGUGAAGAAGGGUUUCGGCUCGUAAAGCUCUGUUGUUGGUGAA